rnacentral:lncRNA from 1 species
AUUUCUUGAUGUGCCGGGGUCGACUCAAUCAAUCUUGGGGUCGACUCAAUCCACACUUUGCUGCAACUUAAGGUUAGAUUCAUCCAUAUAAUCAAUGAAAUAAACUUUAAACAAUUUUGAAUAUAUGUCAUGAUAGUGCUACAUACUCCAAACAAUGAAAAUUACUAUUCUCCACUUAAGAGUAUGUUUCACUUGAAACUUUGCCGAAUUAGAAUUUAGAGUUCACUAUCCCUUUC